rnacentral:rRNA from 1 species
CCGUCUAAGGUGGGACAGAUGAUUAGGGUGAAGUCGUAACAAGGUAGCCGUAGGAGAACCUGCGGCUGGAUCACCUCCUUUCUAAGGAA